rnacentral:rRNA from 1 species
UUAGAUACCCUUGUAGUCCACGCCGUAAACGAUGGAUGCUAGCUGUUAUAGGUAUCGACCCCUGUAGUAGCGAAGCUAACGCGUUAAGCAUCCCGCCUGUGGAGUACGGUCGCAAGACUAAAACAUAAAGGAAUUGACGGGGACCCGCACAAGCGGUGGAGCGUGUUCUUUAAUUCGAAGGUAAGCGAAGAACCUUACCCAGGUUUGACAUCCUGCGAAGGUCUCCGAAAGGAGACUGUGCCUUGUGAGCGCAGUGACAGGUGAUGCAUGGCCGUCGUCAGCUCGUGUCGUGAGAUGUUUGGUUAAGUCCAUCAACGAGCGCAACCCUUGUAAAUAGUUGGAUUUUUCUAUUUAGACUGCCCUGGUAACAGGGAGGAAGGAGGGGAUGAUGUCAGGUCAGUAUUUCCCUUACAUCUGGGGCUAGAAACACGCUACAAUGGCCGGUACAAAGGGCAGCCAAGUCGCGAGACGGAGCAAAUCCCAUCAAAGCCGGUCCCAGUUCGGAUAGCAGGCUGAAACUCGCCUGCUUGAAGUCGGAAUCGCUAGUAACGGUAGGUCAGCACACUACCGUGAAUACGUUCCCGGGUCUUGUACACACCGCCCGUCAAACCAUGAAAGUCGCCAAUACCUGACGUCCUAGCUUGCCUAGGCCUAAGGUAGGGGAGAUGAUUGGGGUU